UACGUAGGUGGCAAGCGUUGUCCGGAUUUAUUGGGCGUAAAGCGCGCGCAGGCGGUUUCUUAAGUCUGAUGUGAAAGCCCUCGGCUUAACCGAGGAGGGUCAUUGGAAACUGGGAGACUUGAGUGCAGAAGAGGAAAGUGGAGUUCCAAGUGUAGCGGUGAAAUGCGUAGAGAUUUGGAGGAACACCAGUGGCGAAGGCGACUUCCUGGUCUGUAACUGACGCUGAGGCGCGAAAGCGUGGGGAGCAAACAGG
rnacentral:rRNA from 1 species